CUGAUCAAAGCUGAGAUUGUAUCUGCUGAAAGCAUCCAAGUGUGCAGAGUGCAGCCAGCCCCGGAUGGAUGGGAGUCCCGCACUCUCUGGCUGCACCCUGCAGGGAUACAAGCAUUCCUAUUUUUACCUACUCUGACUCUCACGGACUCUCUGUGCUGCAGUGGUGUUAGCAGAGGAUCAUGCAAGGGUGCCAUGGCUGCUUUGGUUUGGUGCUAAGUGGUAACAUCACAGGGCUUGUGCAGUUCCAUAACAUCAGAAUCAAAAUGUGGAGAAGAAGCAUGCCCAUCAGAUGUCAGGGGUUUUGAAGGGAUACCGGAGGUGAUGACAGCACUCAUGUUUGGUGCUAAAUUCAGACGUUUAAAGCCGAUUGACACCAAUGUUCAUGGCCUCAUUGUCCAUUUCUUGCUGGUCACUCUGUCCCUGGUAGGUUCUCCUUUGCUGUUUCUAGAUUAACCCUUGCCUGCCUGACCUGAACUCUGCCAGUCAUGACCUGCUGUCUGUAAUUGCAUUUAGCCUUACUGUGCCAUGUCUUGUACUUUCUCCCUGCCUUGCCUUAAUGUGCCAGUGCCUACCUUCCAUUAACUCAUUCUGUGUCUAUGCUCCCUCUUUAUGUUUUUCUGCUGAAUAAAAGCUACUUUUGUUGUAAACUCUUGCCUGUCUGUUUCCCAGCCACCUCUUUCAUCCCUACUCCAAAUAUUAAGACCAAUAGCCCCUGAGACACUGCUGUGGCCCCCUGGUGGUCAUGACAAUGGUCGAGGCUUUCUGUAAAGGACGAUCUGUCAUGUAAUAGUGAUAAAAUGUUCUUUUGCUUGAACUGACAAAUUAAAGUGGGGAAAGUUCAGGCCCAAUUAAAGUGUGUGUACAUUCCCCCCCCCCCAAAUUUUUUUUUACCUAAUGAAAGAAAUUGUGUCAGCAAUCUGUAUCUCAAGCAAACUAGUGGCGAUUUUAUCCAAAGUCUAUUUAGACAGAUGAUGAUAGAUAGAUAGAUAGAUAGAUGAUAGAUAAAGCCUUUUCAGUUUUAAUCCAAAUAUCCAUCUGACAGUGAGUGUGUCAUGUUUACUUUAUUCGGGGAUACAGACUUUGUUACAUUAUUUUUAAAGAAAACAAAAAGACUGCCCCUAGAAUGCUUAUCCCUCCCCUCCCCUGUACCCCUGUUAGCCUUUCCACUCAAAUGCAUUCCUACUAAAUGCUAACCGAGUUUCUGCAGUCUUAAAACCUACUCUAGUCGCUCACUCCUUUUAUGUCUGAUUUGUUACAUCUAAAAGCUAAUUUAACCAUCUCUUACAAUAAGCAAUGAUCUUGAUUUCUCUGAAUUAGGAGGGUUGUGUUUUCUUUGUGUCUAGAUUUCUUUCUCUGACUUGUUUGUUUUGCCUGUCAGUGUGCUUAAAAGAGACAUACAGUCCCUAUUGUGUGAGCGCGCUAUUACUAAUGUUUCCUACUGGUAGGAGCUGAACCGGCAACUGGGCAUCUCAGAGCACAAUGGGAAGGGAGAAAAUAAAACACAGCAUGUUACAAAACAAGGCCGGGGGUGAAUGGAAGCAUGUUCCUCAUAGAAAGGUGUUAGAACAACAAGGUCACACACUGUGGGUUGUGUCCGGGUCAGGAAACGCAGAAAAUUAUUACAUAAGGUUAACGUACUGGCAGAAGAACUGUGGAAAAGCAUCCCCGGGGGAAUUGGGAAAGUCUUUAUGUGCCUAAGAAGAAUGAGUGGCAAUGUAUACUUUGUUCUUAUUUUAUCUGUAUAAAUAGGUCCUAAAAUUUUCAUUAAAUUAAUAUUUCUGCAAAAAAACAACAUAUUUAUAACUGAUACAAAGUGAUACAAACUGAUACAAAUUUCAAACUAUUUUUCACAAAUAAAGGCACAAUAAAUACACAA